UACGUAGGGUGCGAGCGUUACUCGGAAUUACUGGGCGUAAAGCGCACGUAGGCGGAUCGAUCAGUCAGGGGUGAAAUCCCAGGGCUCAACCCUGGAACUGCCUUUGAUACUGUCGAUCUGGAGUAUGGAAGAGGUGAGUGGAAUUCCGAGUGUAGAGGUGGAAUGCGUAGAGAUCCGGAAGAACACCGGUGGCGAAGGCGGCCUGCUGGGCAGUUGCUGACACUGAGGCGCGACAGCGUGGGGAGCAAACAGG
rnacentral:rRNA from 1 species